CAGGUUACUUAAAGAGUGGCCCCUCCGCUCUGCUGCAGGCUUCGUGGACGCUCGCUGCUCCUUUUCCCUUUGCUAAUCAACCCGGAGGCUCCGGUUCACAGCUGCGCAGGACUUUCGCUGCAGGAACGCCACUGAGGAGACAGCAUGAUCAUGAGUGAUGACAAAUGUCACCUGAGGAAUAAAGAGGGGAAAUAUGUGACAGUCCGGCGAUCAGGAACUUUACGGGAGCUGUGUGUGUCUGACUUUCAAAAUGCCAAUAACAGCGCAGGUACGUUGUUGAUAUGGAGACGUAAAAUAAACGAGAAAAACCAGAUUGCCUUCAGCUGCCCGGAUGGAUCUAAGUUCUAUUCACCAAAUGUGAAAGAAGGGAAACUGGAAUGUUCACAGUUGGCUGACAGUACCGAUUCAUUAUCUGAAUCUAACUGGUUUGAGAAGAUAAACAAUGGAGACAAGUAUUACGGCCUGGUAUCUGUGAUCAACCCUAAACUAUACCUGACCCUCUCAGGCAGUUUGUUGGAUAUCAGUAAUGAUGAUCAGAAGUGUGCUUACAUCACAGAUGAAAAGAUAUAAGUAGAGAAGGCAACCACCACCAACUCAGCUUCACCUGGUACAUAAUUCAAGAUUUCCCUACUGGGGGUGGACUCCUUCUUCUGCGCUCUACCUGAUCUGCUCCAGCUCUGGACCCAACACACCACUGAGUUACUGAGAUAAUUUGUCAUUCUUGGGUGGCUAAUUGUGUCCUUGGUAAUAUAAGGGCAUACUCUUUCGAUUAAACCAGUGCGGAACCAUUGUCUUCACCCUCUGGCAGUGAGAGUAAUUACACAAAUUACAAACGCUAAGUUUCUUUUUUUAUAUGGAGCAUCAGAAACAUUUCUUGGAGUUAUCCUCGGUUUUUCCGCCAUAGGCUCCGCCAUACUCCCAGCUGAAGCCGCCUCCCUUUCCGUCGCUGCGGUAGCUCCUCUCUUCAGCUCUGGCAAACUUGCUGGUUGACUAAAGGAGGCAUCGCUGUAGGUGCACAGUGUGGCAAUUUUGCCACAGACAAAAGAUUCAAAACCCAAGUAUACUGUGAAAUACAGGCAUUUACCUGCCGCCGAUUAACUUAAUCAGUAUUGUGUGAAGUCGUUUGGCAUAUGUAAAAGUCCCGCACUCCAGCUUUAACUACUGUACGCCAUAAAGGUAGGGGACUCAGCAGGGGCUGAGAUAUCCUGAUUCUUAAUUCCUAACAUGGCCAAGCUCCAAAAAUGCUUGAUGCAAAACUUCCCACACUGUAAUGUGAUAUUUUCUUUUUGUUAAACCUUUGCUGCUGGUGAACUCUGAUAAAUUGGUCUUUUGUUGACUAACCAGUUUAUAACUUAGACUGUCUGUUAAAAGUUUGAACCCAAUGAUACACUUGGCUCAUUUUCUUGGCCUCUUCCUUAGCCUUAGUAGACAGGCCUCUUGUCUUACAGGCCUCUUCAAUAUCUUAGUAAGCUCAUCUUUCUGUGCAAGUUGGUAGAGUCACCAUUUAAUGUGAAACUGUUGUGUGUGGGUAUUUAAGAGGGGAAUUGGGUGUUUUCUUACUUUUUUUUUUGGACUACUGGGUGUCUGUGAUGCAGAUUGGGGAUUUUUUUUUUUUUUCAACCAAAUUUUUAUUUUGACCAAAAGUUAUUCGAUUAGCUAGAGCUACGCACCAAUCUGUACUCAAACUUUAAUUUAACAGUAUUCACGAUCCUCUACAGUGAUUGGCUGGCAGGAAUACCGACCCAGCUUGAUCAAAACAUGCCAGUUUACAAGCCCGAUUCGGACCUUGACUUAGUAAUUAAAUUGUGAAUGUCAGUCAUUUCUCAAUAGUAGUACAACUACACUUUCAUCAUGUAAAAAAGGUGGAUGAACAGUGGAAGCAACUUCCUACUUAAACAGCAUUAAGAUAACACCUGGAACUGCAAAAUCCCCCUAAAACUGAAGAGAAUUAUGUUUUCCAUAAAAUGCCCCCUUUGAAGUUGAAUACAUGUCAGUGGUUACUGUCAAUGGCCUUUUCAUGACUUGCCUUGCUGGUAUUGAAAAGAAAAGCUUUACGUAUACAUAAAUGUGUUUGUAUGUAUUUUUUAAUAAAUCAUUUUUUCAAGAGUAA